UGAAAAUUUAUAUUUAAAUCUUUCUGUUAUGAAUGCCGCUCUGUUGUUGUUCAACAAGCAUAUGAAUUAAAAAAAAGAAUGCCCCUGCCUGCUCUAUAUAAAUAGCUGACAGUCACAUUUUCAGUAAACCCCCAACAGGGUUUCAAGGCAAGCUGAGAGAGAGAGAGAAAAAAAGGUAGCAACCAGAGAUGUGGGCUGUUACUAACCUGCUGCACUUUAGCAGAUUACGUGUAUUUUUCCAAGUAAAAACCAAAUGGUAACCAAAGGUUAACAUAUUCCACAGUGUGUUAUAUCUCAACUGCAUCAUACUGUCAUCUGACCCAUAUACCUCAAUAAAUAUAGUUAUCCAAAAGAACAUUCCCUCCAAUUCUAAAGCCAUGGCAAAACAUAUAUGGGGAAAGUUUGGCCCAUACUGUGUGUGCUCAGCCAUGGCAGCUAUCUGGCACAUUUGGCCCAAAAGUUUGUGCUAUCUGGAGAGUACUGUGUGGUUAAACUAAAAACUAGCACACUUUGGUUCUCUUUCACCACACCCUAGUACUCUUCACACUGUUCACCAUAAAAGACCAAGGUACUGAGAAAAGACUCAUCUGAAAAACAAAGAGGCAUAUCUCUCUAAAAGAAGGGUGGAAGUGACCAGGCAUGGACCUGGAAUUAUCACCACUAAAUCCUCAGGACAGCAAUGAUAGAAAUCCUCAUGCAGUCCAACCUUGUACUGACCAGCCUGUGGUCAUUGUCCAACCCUCUGAGUGCAUGAGCCAUGAGCCACCAGCUGAGCCUGUGCCAGAUUACAUGUGCUACUCUAAAUUUGGCUUGUUAAUGUGUGUCUGUCUGGGAUGUGCUGCUCUUUAUUUCUCCAAAGCUACUCGCACAGCUAACGGCAAUGGACAGAGAAGAGAAGCAGCAAGAAACUCUCAAAUUGCACUCAUCCUGAACCAUCUCGCCAUUGUUGUGGGAAUCAUCAUAGCUGCAGGAUACUUCCUCAACAAUUUUUACCUAUAAGAGCCAACACUUUAUCCAUAAUUACCCUUAUACACUGGAGGAACCUUAUCAUAGUUCCUAUGAAUUAUGUUCCUAGAGUGGAAGUACCCACUUUUUAGUGUUCACAUCGCAGGAACUAGGAACAUAUUUGGAUAUAGGAACUCCGUUUUGGGGAACUUAUUCGCUCCUACUUCAGAGUAGCGUCUAAAACAGUUCUAUAGGAACUACCAGUGAUGUACUGUAAGUGUACGCUGAGUGGCCACAAGCAUACGAAACACUGUCUACUUGGCAUAUAUAAAAAGCCAUGUAAACACUCCACGAACAUGGGAAACAGCAGAAACAGCUUUUAGCUAACACCUAAUGUCUGCAGCAUUGUGUUCCUUUCUUAGCUUUGAUGAUAUGUAACACUGCAAGUUGCCAUAGGAGAUUUAGCCAGAUUUUCAUGCUCUUUCAAUCGCGUAAAUUAUGCUUUUACAUUCUGUCUCCAUUAUCAUGAAACCCACGACACACAACAAAAACAGCUCCGAUCACAGCGCCCUCCAUUCACUGGUUGUUGACAUUUGUAAAUGCCUUGAAUAAAGACGUAGUUGUUGGUCGCUUCA
ensembl:lncRNA